CCUAGCCAUCAUCAUAGAAACAGAAAUGUGCAGCAAGCUUGGCAGUUCUGACACAUCCUAUUUUCUGUGAACUGAUGACUAAUCAUGUAGAGCGAAAGAGACCAAAUUAAAAUCGAGUUAAAGGAAUAAUUCAAAUGUAUUCCGUUUAAGAGAUAGUAAUGACCAUUUGAAAAAUCUGGUCAAAUGCUGGAGCAAAAGGACCUGAGCCCUAGGACCAUGCCCCAGGACUACCUGACAUGAUGACUCCUUGCUGUCCCCAGUCCACCUGGCCAUGCUGCUGCUCCAGUUUCAACUUCCACCUGACUGUGCUGCUGCUCUAGUUUCAACUGUUCUGCCUUAUUAUUAUUCGACCAUGCUGGUCAUUUAUGAACAUUUGAACAUCUUGGCCAUGUUCUGUUAUAAUCUCCAACCGGCACAGCCAGAAGAGGUCUGGCCACCCCACAUAGCCUGGUUCCUCUCUAGGUUUCUUCCUAGGUAUUGGCCUUUCUAGGGAGUUUUUCCUAGCCACCGUGCUUCUACACCUGCAUUGCUUGCUGUUUGGGGUUUUAGGCUGGGUUUCUGUACAGCACUUUGAGAUAUCAGCUGAUGUACGAAGGGCUAUAUAAAUACAUUUGAUUUGAUUUGAUUUGAUUUAAAACUACCAAGAAACACUCUGUGUGCCCCGGAUUUAGCCCACUGCAGUAAAAGAUUAUUAAGUGAGUCUGUCAGUCAGAUUCAGUGGAAUAUUGGGCCAUGAUGAUCCAUAAUCAAAAUGACCCAGAGAAGGGUUCUUUCCUUUCUCUCAACCUGAGGGAGUUUUUUUUUAUGCUGCUAUUGUCCUGCUUUUCUAGGGCUUCAGGCCACGGGUCUUUAGUGAAGAGCUCUGAGACGAGAUCUGGAAUAUGCACGUCAUAAUGGGUACACAGGGAUGAACUGUUGCGUAGACAGGUAUUUUUCCAUUGACCAUCUGUGUUCCUUUCAUUUCUCUGUGGAUGUGAAACAGUAGGAUCACCACAGAACCAAAAUCUGUGAACUGAUGACUAAUCGGGCAUAGAGAAAUAGACUAAAUUCAAAACUAGUUAGGGAAGAAUUAAUUGUAGUCAGAUAACCAGGUCAUUCCAACGACUCAGUGCCUUUUGAGAGGUGUAAACUUGGUAAAAAAAACAAACAACAACAACAAAAACAUUUAAUUUCACCUAAUUUGAAAAUUCUGUCAUAAAGAGCAUAUGUUCUACUUCAUAAAAAACAUUUUGGGAUUAAGUGGGUUGAACAUCUUUCUCGAAGUGAUGCAGAGUUGAUGGAGGGACACAUCAAAAUGCUGAAUUUUGGCACUACCAGGCCUUUAUUCAUAUCCAAAAUAUGAUUGAUUGAAUUCUCCAUGUGGUCUAUAUUAAAGGGCACUUAAGAUAUUGUAACAGGCUUUUAAAACUCAAUAUUGGUGCACAAUUAUAAAAUAAAAUAAAAUAUCAAAGGGAGGCAAAGGCACUCUUUUUGUGGAAUGACCCAACAAUGACCAUUUGUGCAAUCUGCAAAAUGCUGACGCAGAAGUGCAAGAAAAGUCAGCAAACAUCAGAUGAUUCGACAUUUGUAGAAUGUAAUAAUGUCGCAAAACAGACCAUGAAAGAAGAAACAAGACUUCCUGUGAAAACAGGGGAUUGGGUAUACAACCAACAGGUCUAACUGAACUUUUAACUGAAGUAAUUUUGGGUUGACUUUUUCAUCUAUCUUUCAUCUUUAAUAAAUCCAUGAUUGGGUCUGUGACCUUUGCAACAAGUCUGAUAGACUUUACACUAAAAGAGGAACACUUGUUAUUGUCUUCUGUUACAGACAGGCCAUAGAUUUUGUUUGAUGGCCGACCAGAGAGGCGGAGGAGAUGUGGUUUCAAAAAGACAGUAAAUAGCUUUUAGCUUCCUGUGAGAUUUUGAGUACUGUGUAGAAAUAGCUAUGCGUUCAUAAUGAAAGAGGAACCAGUGGCCAAACGCUACUGGUGUCAGGCCCUUUGUCCACUUCUACUGAAAAGUGUUAACCACUGCACUGCAGAUAACCGGAAUUGAGUGACUUAUAGUAAGUGCCUGUUAGAAAGAGUUUCCUGUUAUACAGUCUGUAUGACUUAUUACCCCAGUCUUUCUAUGACAUAGACUGACUAGUUGACAUAGACUGACCAGGUGAAAGCUAUGAUCCCUUAUUGAUGUCUGUCUGCUAAAUCCACCUCGAUCAGUGUAGAUUCAUUUCAUUUAACCUUUAUUUCACUAGGCAAGUCAGUUAAGAACAAAUUCUUAUUUACAAUGACAGCCUACCCCAGCCAAACCCUAACCCGGACGAUGCUGGGCCAAUUGUGCACUGCCCUAUGGGACUCCCAAUCAUGGCCGGUUGUGAUACAGCCUGGAAUCAAACCAGGGUCUGUAGUGAUGCCUCUAGCACUGAGAUGCAGUGCCUUAGACCGCUGCGUCACUCGGGAGGAGACAGGUUACAGAAGACUUUUAAGCCUCGAGACAAUUGAGACACGGAGACGUGGAGUUUUUCCUAGCCACUGUGCUUCUACAUCUGCAUUGCUUGCUGUUUGGCGUUUAAGGCUGGGUUUCUGUAUAAGCACUUUGUGACUGCUGAUGUAAAAAGGGCUUUAUAAUGUUUACAUUUUUAAUUUGAUUGUGUAUUCAUAGGGUGAAUGGGCAAGACAAAAGAUGUAAGUGCCUUUUAUAACGGGUUAUGGUAGUAGUUGCCUGACGCACCAGUAUGAGUGUGUCAAGAACUGCAACGCAGAAUGGUCCACCACCCAAAGGACAUCCAGCCAACUUGACACAACUGUGGAGGUCAAUUGGAGGUCAACAUUGGCCAGCAUCCCUGUGGAAUUCUUUCGACACCUUGUAGAGUCCAUGCCCCGACAAAUUGAAGCUGUUCUAAGGGGAUGCAACUCAAUAUUAAGAUGUUCCUAAUGUUUUCUACACUCAGUGCAGCGUUUACCAAACUCGGUCCUCAGAACCCCAAGAGGUGCACGUUUUUUUUCUUUUUUUUUACCUAACACCACACAGCUGAUCAAAGCUUGGUGAUUAGUUUAUUAUUUGAAUCAGCUGUGUAGUGCUAGGGCAAAAACCAAAGGACCGAGUUGGGGAAACCCUGAUCAGUGUAUUGGCCACAGGCAGCUUAUCUUCUUUCAGUUACUAAUAAACACCACUAGAGUUCACCACUGUGUUGUUUUUCACUAAAUAAAUUGUAUGCUAAGCCAACAUUCUUAGAUAAAACAGAUGGCUUUGUGAUUUGAGGUCAAAGUUGAGUGUAGCAAUGAUCUUUCUGGACUGAUAUCUUUUUUUGCGCUCCUUUGUCACUGCAGAAAUGCCCUUAAACCGUAUGGUGGCAAUUGCUUCCAUUUUUGUAAUUGUAUAUAUAUUUUCCUUUAUUAUUUUCCACUAACCCUACCAGCCCUCCCCUAAUUGGAGCAAAAAUAAUGAACAACAACACUUAGGCUUCUACUUCCAGCUUAUACAUAUUAUAUAUGGACACAAUCUAUUUUACAAUAGUUGUAUUUUGUUUGUUUUUAAUCCUAUCCUUCUGCUACACUCAACCACUCCCAUCUAUUUCUGAAGAUUUCUAUUUGCCACGUAUUUUUAACUGUGCUCUUUCACAGAAGUUCCGGACCUAUAUACAUUUACGGACACUGUAUAUUUGACAUGAGUUAUCUUGUUAUUAGUCCCACCCUUCAACUCCACUCAACUUCUCCCAUUUAUCUCUGAACAACAUCCGUAUUGGAUUUCUAUUUGCCAUAUAUUUUUCAACUGUGCUGUGAUGUUUCACAAAAAUUCUGAAACUUUCUAUUCUCAUAGUUUCUACAGAUUGUAAACUAAAUACAAUUUAUUAUUAUAUUAUUGAUCGAUUGACUAUGACUUUUCAUAGCUGCAGGUAAAUGUUGCAAUUAUUCAGCCAUUCCUGGACCUGCAACCAAAAACAAGCUACAUAUGGACAGUACCAAAACAAAUAAUGUAAUGAUUGUCUCUUCGCAAGAAAAUCUGCAGAGAUGGGAUUGUUGUUUCUCCCAUAUAUAUAACUGUGGAAAGGCCACCAGAGGGCAGGCUGGGCUCACGCAUAGUAGCCCAACCAGGCAUGUGAGUCAAUGUGACCAGAGGCAAUUAAGCACAGUUUACGGUACUAAUGACAUAUUCUCUUUUCCCUACAAGAGGGAGGAGGGAACCAGCAGAGAGGGGGGAAGAUUAAGAUAAACUAUCUCUGGAGAAUGGCCACCAAGAGAGAGGAGCUGUCCCCGAAGAACCAUUAAGACGGUGACAAACCUGUGAUUUUUGUUAUAGUUUAAAGAUAAUCGUCUUAUGUUCCUGUUUUCAUCUGAAGAAGAAGAUGUGUGUUUUUCCUUGGGAGAUUCUCAUUGAUUGUGUUGGAGUGUUUGUAUUGACAGAAAUCCCUCAAUAGAGAACUGUGUUCAAUCAAGAAGACCUACUCCUGGCUCGUUUAUUCCACCUUUCCGCUUUAGAGUGACACCAAAUUACUUGGUCCGCUCACAUAACAUUCUAUUUUUAAUUGUAUUUUUAUUUAACCUUAAAUUACAAUGACGGCCUACUGGUUGCAAUAAUUUUGUAUAAUGAUGUAAAUUUAAAAAUGUGAAGUUUUGAAUCCAGCGUUAUUUUCUGUAUCAUUUAAAGAACAAUGUGGCAUGGAAUCGAUACAUCGAAUCUCUUCACAACUAUUUUGCAAUUCAUAUGGAACAGCUGUGGUUUUUUUCUGGUUCUUAAAUAAAACAGGUAUAUUUAAAAAUGUAUUACAAUUUUCUUUAAACAAUUUUGGUCUUUAAUGCUGGGCCGACAGACAAGUUCCUUACUUUUCCCCCCUUCACUUGCCUCUUCCAUUUUUGCGGUAAUGCUGCAGUUAGUUGGUUGUAAUUUUGAGUAGAGCAGACAUUUCCAUAUAUUUUUGUUAGCUGCAUGUGUGACAUAACCCUAUUUAUGAUAUCAUUUACAAAGAUUAUACCUUUUUUAAGCCUUUAUUUUAUUUUUUACUUUUUUUAAUCAAUUAGUAUAUUUGAGUUUAACCACUAUUUGUUGUAUUAUUUGUUCUGUCUUUUCUGGUGGAUUAAACUGAAAUUGCAACCAACUUUCUAUUGCUUAAAAAUAGCAAUAUUUUUGAGAUCAUUUUCAAAUCACGAAAAGUGAGAGGUAGUAAUCUGAAUAAAGGUAAAAAUGCCAUUCUUGAACAGGGGGUGAGACAUUCUUCAUUUGUUAGAGAACCAGUCGGAUUUAAGUAUAACUUUUGUAUGACUGAUGCCUUUAGUGAGAGGUCUAAUGCUUUAAUAUUUAAUCAUUUCUGCCCUCCGAAUUCAUAUUAAUUUUGUCUGGCUUGCCGUUCCAAAUAAAAUGGAAUAUCUUUUGCUCAUAUAAUUUUAAAAAACAGGUCGCUAGGUGUCACGCCUGCUCCCGCUCUCCCUCCCUGGUGCCCGAGGGCGCCAGGCUGCCCAGCACUACGGACUCCUGCCACCAUCAUUACGCACACCUGCUUCCCUGGUCACGCGCAUCAGCAAUUCAUUAGACUUACCUGGACUCAAUCACCUGUGUUAUUACCUCCCCUAUAUCUGUCUGUUCCCCAGCUUUGUUCCCGGCUUCAGCAUUAAUUGUUGUCAUGUCGUUUUGUUCGCCCUGUUCUGAUGCUGUUCCUGUUCUGUCACUUGUCCGUUCAUUAAAUGUUCACUCCCUGUACCUG